rnacentral:rRNA from 11 species
CUCUCGGCAACGGAUAUCUCGGCUCUCGCAUCGAUGAAGAACGUAGCGAAAUGCGAUACCUGGUGUGAAUUGCAGAAUCCCGUGAACCAUCGAGUCUUUGAACGCAAGUUGCGCCCGAGGCCAUCCGGCCAAGGGCACGCCUGCCUGGGCGUCAC